GAUGAAGAACGUAGCGAAAUGCGAUAAGUAAUGUGAAUUGCAGAAUUCAGUGAAUCAUCGAAUCUUUGAACGCACAUUGCGCCCAUUAGUAUUCUAGUGGGCAUGCCUGUUCGAGCGUCAUUAAGUCCACUUAAGCCCUGCUUAGUGUUGGGAGACUGCUCCAGCAGUGCUACCCUGUAGCUACCCUGCAGCUCCUCAAAGACAGCGGCGGAGUUGUGGUAUCCUCUGAGCUUAGUAACUUGUUCUAGCUUUCGAGUACACCACUUCCCCUGCCGUAAAACCCUUAAUUUUUAAUGGUUGACCUCGGAUCAGGUAGGAAUACCCGCUGAACUUAAGCAUAUCAAUAAGCGGAGGA
rnacentral:misc_RNA from 1 species